GACGAACGCUGGCGGCGUGCUUAACACAUGCAAGUCGAACGGAAAGGCCCUGCGUUUGUGGGGUGCUCGAUUGGCGAACGGGUGAGUAAGACGUGAGUAACCUGACCUUGACUUUGGGAUAACUUCAGGAAACUGGGGCUAAUAUAGGAUAGGAGCUGCUGCUGCAGGGGGGGGGGUGGAAAGUUUCGGCGGUUGGGGAUGGACUCGCGGCUUAUCAGCUUGUUGGUGGGGUAGUGGCUUACCAAGGCUUUGACGGGUAGCCGGCCUGAGAGCGUGACCGGCCACAUUGCGACUGAGAUACGGCCCAGACUCCUACGUGAGGCAGCAGUGGGGAAUAUUGCACAAUGGGCGGAAGCCUGAUGCAGCAGCGCCGCGUGCGGGAUGACGGUCUUCGGGUUGUAAACCGCUUUCGCCUGUGACGAAGCGUGAGUGACGGUAAUGGAUAAAGAAGCACCGGCUAACUACGUG
rnacentral:rRNA from 1 species